UACGUAGGUGGCAAGCGUUGUCCGGAAUUAUUGGGCGUAAAGCGCGCGCAGGCGGUCCCUUAAGUCUGAUGUGAAAUCCCACGGCUCAACCGUGGAAGGUCAUUGGAAACUGGGGGACUUGAGUACAGAAGAGGAAAGCGGAAUUCCAAGUGUAGCGGUGAAAUGCGUAGAGAUUUGGAGGAACACCAGUGGCGAAGGCGGCGAUCUGGGUCGAUACUGACGCUGAGGUGCGAAAGCGUGGGGAGCAAACAGG
rnacentral:rRNA from 1 species